rnacentral:rRNA from 1 species
UACGAAGGGGGCUAGCGUUGCUCGGAAUCACUGGGCGUAAAGGGUGCGUAGGCGGGUCUUUAAGUCAGGGGUGAAAUCCUGGAGCUCAACUCCAGAACUGCCUUUGAUACUGAGGAUCUUGAGUUCGGGAGAGGUGAGUGGAACUGCGAGUGUAGAGGUGAAAUUCGUAGAUAUUGCAAGAACACCAGUGGCGAAGGCGGCUCACUGGCCCGAUACUGACGCUGAGGCACGAAAAGCGUGGGGGAGCAAACAGG